rnacentral:tRNA from 5 species
UGGGGUAUGGCCAAGCGGUAAGGCACCGGUUUUUGAUACCGGCAUUCCCUGGUUCGAAUCCAGGUACCCCAGCCA